UACCGGAUAACAACAGAUUGAUGCCUAUCAACUGUUUAAAAGAUGGUUCUGCUAUCACUCUUGGGAUGGACCUGCGGUGCAUUAGCUAGUUGUAGGUAACGGCCUACAGGGCGAUGAUGCAUAGCCGAGUUGAGAGACUGAUCGGCCACAUUGGGACUGAGACACGGGCCAAAACUCUACGGGGAGGCAGCAGUAGGAAUCUUCCACAAUGGACGCAAGUCUGAUGGAGCAACGCCGCGUGAGUGAAGAAGGGUUUCGGCUCGUAAAAGCUCUGUUGUUGGUGAAGAAGGACAGGGGUAGUGACUGACCUUUGUUUGACGGUAAUCAAUUAGAAGUCACGGCUAACUACGUGCCAGCAGCCGCGGUAAU
rnacentral:rRNA from 1 species